GUCAAGUUACUGUUUGUGGUUGAGCGUUCAUUACCAGCAACUACCUAGAAACAGCCAUUGCAAUUAUUAAUGAAAAAAUCAAUUCCUCCAAAGCAGCCAAAUGAGGGAUUUCAGAAGAAGACCCGGAGCUUUGCUAAGGGAACAGACAACUCGCACUGCUCCUCCUGCAGGGCUCGGGGGAUGCAGGAGCGCGGGUCCCACAUCGGAGGCGGGGAUCGCCCUCCGGAUUGCCCGGGCAGCUCCGCGGAACCCGCGAGUGAUGAGCACCUGAUAAUCUGGUAUUUUCCAAGCUGAGCUCGUGUGUGAAAGAACCUGAGACCAUAUAGUGUCUGAGAAGAAGAAAGUAAAUUAUUGCAAAACUGUCCUGAGAUGGGUGCACUAAGGCUGCUGGCACAAUGGAAGAAGCAAAAAUAGGAAGAGAGAUUGAGGGGACCACACAAGUGAGUGUGAGAUCAGGACAUGCAGGAAGUCUGAAGGAUGGAGGAUCUGGCAUGAUAAUGACUGAAGUGUUGACUAAAAGCCCAAUGUCUUUAUUGAAACCUGGACCCCCUACUUGGGUAGGAGAAGCACAAUUGCAUAAAAAGGAGAACUGGUGUUAAUUCAGGUCUGAUGUGUUGUCAGUUAUAUUUACUCUAUUGCUAACCAGUGAAAGAUAUAUAUUAACAGCAAUUUAAUACAUAUGUCU